CCCCAUUCCCCCCAAUCAUACCGAGUCUCCAUCUCAGCUCCCACCCUCCACAGCGCGGCAACGCUCAAUCUGAAUCAUCGGCCCCGCCUAGCCGCCUCUCCCUGGACAUCCACCCAUACCAGCGACCGGCGGCCAACCUCGGCGCCCGGAUUUGGCGACUGGCCUCGGCGACCGGCCUCGGCGACAAACAUCGGCGACAGGCCCAAGGAGUCAACCUUCAAUGGAUGGGGCAAGGGCAACAAUGGGAAGGGUAGGGCCCUUGGGUAGGGCCCGGACUGUUAUCAUCCAACGCAGGAGUUUGUGUGGUCAGUAACCAGCAGCGGAGUUGCCGAGCACCGGCAAGCAACAGGGCAUCGACGGCAGCGCCGUCAUCAAUGGAAACGCUCCUGAAAAUAGUGUUGCCCCUACAGCAAUGUCUCAAGCGUGGCUAGAGCUGCCAUGG